rnacentral:rRNA from 1 species
GUAUAAGAGACAGCAGCAGCCGCGGUAAUACAGAGGUCUCAAGCGUUGUUCGGAUUCAUUGGGCGUAAAGGGUGCGUAGGUGGUGAUGCAAGUCUGGUGUGAAAUCUCGGAGCUCAACUCCGAAAUUGCACCGGAUACUGCGUGACUCGAGGACUGUAGAGGAGAUCGGAAUUCACGGUGUAGCAGUGAAAUGCGUAGAUAUCGUGAGGAAGACCAGUUGCGAAGGCGGAUCUCUGGGCAGUUCCUGACACUGAGGCACGAAGGCCAGGGGAGCAAACG